rnacentral:rRNA from 1 species
GACGAACGCUGGCGGCGUGCUUAACACAUGCAAGUCGAACGGAAAGGCCCUGCUUGCAGGGUACUCGAGUGGCGAACGGGUGAGUAACACGUGGGUGAUCUGCCCUGCACUUCGGGAUAAGCUUGGGAAACUGGGUCUAAUACCGGAUAGGAGCCAUCUUUAGUGUGGUGGUUGGAAAGUUUUUUCGGUGUAGGAUGAGCUCGCGGCCUAUCAGCUUGUUGGUGGGGUAAUGGCCUACCAAGGCGGCGACGGGUAGCCGGCCUGAGAGGGUGUACGGCCACAUUGGGACUGAGAUACGGCCCAGACUCCUACGGGAGGCAGCAGUGGGGAAUAUUGCACAAUGGGCGCCAGCCUGAUGCAGCGACGCCGCGUGGGGGAUGAAGGCCUUCGGGUUGUAAACUCCUUUCGCUAGGGACGAAGCUUUGUUGUGACGGUACCUAGAUAAGAAGCACCGGCUAACUACGUG